GGGGGUGCACUGGCUUCGACGGGGGUCGCGAAAUCGCUUGGCGCAUGCCGAGGGGGUAGCUUUCCUCGUAAAUCCAGCUGCAAACUUCUAGUUGCCAACGACGACAACUACGCACUGGCCGCUUAAGGCCUAAGCCCCGAAAUCGCUUGUGUCCGUGCUCGCGACGUAGGGUCAUCAUCACGGAAUCGCCGGGAGUGGCCGCCUGCCAGCACCCGGUUAACCCAAAGCAGGCUGGUUCCCGGAUGCGCUUCGCGCACCGUGCUGUCCGGGAGCGAGAUCCAACGGUGAGCUAAGCAUGUAGUGCCGGGGAUGGAGUGCCUUCGGACGGGGGUUCGAAUCCCCCCACCUCCACCA
rnacentral:tmRNA from 2 species